rnacentral:rRNA from 1 species
GAUGAACGCUGGCGGCGUGCUUAACACAUGCAAGUCGAACGAGAAGUGAAGACGGAAACCUUCGGGCGGAAGGCUUUAUUUCGAGUGGCGGACGGGUGAGUAACGCGUGGGUAACCUGCCUCAUACAGGGGGAUAACAGUUGGAAACGACUGUUAAUACCGCAUAAGACCACAGCACCGCAUGGUGCGGGGGUAAAAACUCCGGUGGUAUGAGAUGGACCCGCGUUCGAUUAGCCAGUUGGCAGGGUAACGGCCCACCACAGCGAGGAUCGAUAGCCGGUAUGAGAGGCUGACCGCCCACAUUGGGACUGGGACACGGCCCAGACUCCUACGGGAGGCAGCAGUGGGUAAUAUAGCACAAUGGGGGAAACCCUGAUGCAGCGACGCCGCGUGAGUGAAGAAAUAUUUCGGUAUGUAAAGCUCUAUCAGCAGGGAAGAAAAUGACGGUACCUGAGUAAGAAGCCCCGGCUAACUACGUG